rnacentral:pre_miRNA from 1 species
CCAUAGUGUUGUAUUGUUUAUGUGUAACAUUUGACCGUCAUAAUUUGUUAUGAUUAGUAUAUUUGUUGUUAUUAAAUGAUAAAACAUGAAUAGUACUUUAUGUAUGACUAAUUCUUUUUAAUUUUAUUAUAAUUUUUUUAAAUAAUACGGACAGACAGGCGUUGGACACGGAAAUUUAAAAAUGCAUUUAAA